rnacentral:rRNA from 1 species
GAGUUUGAUCGUGGCUCAGGACGAACGCUGGCGGCGUGCUUAACACAUGCAAGUCGAACGAGAAUCUACUGAAAGAGUUUUUCGGACAAUGGAAGUAGAGGAAAGUGGCGGACGGGUGAGUAACGCGUGAGGAACCUGCCUUGAAGAGGGGACAACAGUUGGAAACGACUGCUAAUACCGCAUGAUGCAUAAGGGUCGCAUGAUUCUUAUGCCAAAGAUUUAUCGCUUCAAGAUGGCCUCGCGUCUGAUUAGCUAGUUGGCGGGUAACGGCCCACCAAGGCGACGAUCAGUAGCCGGACUGAGAGGUUGAACGGCCACAUUGGGACUGAGAUACGGCCCAGACUCCUACGGGA